CCAGAAAAAAGAGGGUUUGCUAGGUUUGUGAACAGGUGAAAGAAGCUUGGAAGGUCCUUGGUUUGGAUUUAAUUGGACCGCUACCAGAAACAGCACGCAGCAACAAGUAUGUCCUUACCAUGAGCGACCUGUACACCAAGUGGGUGAUUGCAGAACACGUGCGAUCAAAGACAGCGGCUGAGGAGUCUGCAAUAAUAACCACAAAGUUGUACUCGUUCAGCACGGUUAGGAAAAUCAUCACAGACUGAUGGAAGGAGUUCGUUAACAAGAAAAGAAAGGCAGGAGACACAUUGACAAGUCAGCACCAUCGACCAUAUUCUGUGUCCAGCAUCUCUUCCAAAGGUGUAAGCACUAAUGUGAAAGGGUCUGCUUGCAAGAGAGACAAUGUGUCAAGACUGAGGACAUGCUAAGAU